CUAUACAUGCAGUCGAGCGGACAGAUGGGAGCUUGCUCCCUGAUGUUAGCGGCGGAGGGAGAGUAACACGUGGGUAACCUGCCUGUAAGACUGGGAUAACUCCGGGAAACCGGGGCUAAUACCGGAUGGUUGUUUGAACCGCAUGGUUCAAACAUAAAAGGUGGCUUCGGCUACCACUUACAGAUGGACCCGCGGCGCAUUAGCUAGUUGGUGAGGUAACGGCUCACCAAGGCAACGAUGCGUAGCCGACCUGAGAGGGUGAUCGGCCACACUGGGACUGAGACACGGCCCAGACUCCUACGGGAGGCAGCAGUAGGGAAUCUUCCGCAAUGGACGAAAGUCUGACGGAGCAACGCCGCGUGAGUGAUGAAGGUUUUCGGAUCGUAAAGCUCUGUUGGUAGGGAAGAACAAGAACCGUUCGAAUAGGGCGGGACCUUGACGGUACCUAACCUGAAAGCCCCCCCUAACUACUGCCACCC
rnacentral:rRNA from 1 species